GUCUGCAGAAGCAGGCAACACUAUCAAAUUGCGGGAACACCCUAAAGACCUCAACACCAAGCGUCAUGGGAAACCAUGGCGUGGCCGAGCUAAUAGCCCUGGGUAUGGUAACAGCUUGAGGUAUGAAGCCUUCGCAAGGAGGCUGAAAUGGGCAAUCCGCAGCCAAGUCCUAACGUGCUCGAAACCGAGUGCCAUGGAUGCUGUUCACAGGCCAAAUGGUAGUGGGUGACUCUUGCGAGUUGCUUAAGAUAUGGUCGGGCCCCUUCAGAAAUGUGGGGGAUAAGCUUACGCUUCUCUAAACCGUUCCGUAGGUGAACCUGCGGAAGGAUCAUU
rnacentral:ncRNA from 1 species